CGACGACUCGUUUCCGGUUGUGUUAAAUCGACGCGAGAAUCGUUGUGAUUCGAGAUUUCGCGCGUGCGAGCUUCGACUUCCGUUGGAGUGUGAUUCGAUAUAAAAGUUUCACGAUGAUUGCAAAUGACCGUUCAAACACACGCGUAUAUAAAGUUCACUGCUUUUUCAGGACAUCUCGACGAUUUCGAUCUCAAUGCCGAAAAACGUAGUAGUUCUGAUGGCGAUUGAAAAAUAAUCGACGACACGAGAGACGGGAAAGAAUGAAAGAUCAUUUUCGGGUUUCGAGACGACGGAACGCGUCGCAAGUAUCUUUGAUUGGUACACAAGUAACAAAUGAUACUAAAUACGUAAGCGCGUAUAAAUCGCUGUCGAGAUCGGCCUACUCCCUUGACCACACUCGACGUCAGUCUCGGCCUCACUCGACAGUAACUCUGCGUAAAUAGUGUGCAGUAACCACUACGAAAGCGUGUUUCUAUUUUAUUAUAUCUUUUGCUGUACAACUGAGAUAGGGGAGCGAUAUUGAUAGAUCCGAAAAAUACAACACAUCGAAACUUUGGCUCAACUCUCGAAGGCUAUAAAAUCCUUAAUUCCCGUUCGAUAAAUUUUCUAAUCCCACGAUCAAGAAUUUACGACAGCGUAUUGUACUUUUCAACGGACGUUGAAAAUUUAUUGAGUUGAAAUAUCUCUCAAGACGAUCUCCGGGAUCGUUAUUUUUUCCAACUAUGUACACACGUCGUCGCGAACCAUUUUUAGUCCACAAAAAGUUGUAAAGACAACAACGACAACGAGACGACAUUCAAAUUUAAAAAUGGAUUUAAAGAAACGAAAGAUUUCCGAAUUUUUGUGUCACUGCUCCUAUAUAUUAUACUAUUCCACUAAAAAUGCGCACAAUAAAGGAAAAAACUCACAAACAUCGGUGACAACACGAGGGGGGAGGUAACUGAGAAAUGAAAAGCGAUUUUCCGAAUUCGAGAAAUUUCUCGUCGAACCGAUGUGAGAGAGGGGCCUCGUUGCGAAAAUCACUAAUUUCCAAUGGUGUCGUAACGGUCAGAUGUUUAUUCAAAUCUUCUCUUGCGUUCCACCCGGUACGCGGCGAGAUGCUAAUGGAUGAGGUAAUGAGAUGGAACAACGUGUGUUCGUGGCGUUAGUACGCGUUACAAAAAGGAGGGACGCACGAGUUACGCGGCGGUGGGGGUCGGUGGAGGGGUCGGAGCGGGGACAAGAGAAGAAACGAAAUACAUAGUGGUGCAAGUGUGUGAUGUACGCAGGGAGAAGAGAGAGUCGUACACGCGGUGAACACACGACUGACGAUUACUAUAAUAUAUACAGAGACGCUGCGGUUGGGACUUGGGACGAGUUUUACCAACGCGAGGCUUGCAGCAGCCCCUCCUCCCCUACUUCGUUUUUUCUCGUUAUACACGCGCACUUGAGAUUUCACUUCACCAUCGUUCGAAUACACAAACAAUCGAAUAAUGUAUCAAAUUAAAUUGGCGAUGAAGAUUAACACUUGAAUGACACUUUAGAAACGGGAAUUAUACGAUUCCUUUCUAUUGUUAUUUCAAUAUAAAACCGAUUUGAAUCUGGAAUAAUAUCAGUUGGUUGAUGUGAAAAAUGUGAUUUUUUUUGUACCUAUUACGGUCAGACGGGUAUAAUAUUGUGCGAGCCGUGGACAGCGGGUUAGUCGGUCGAAUGCCCGAGCUAAAACGCGAACGACGACGACGCGCUCGCUCUUCUGGCGAGCACGGACACGAUGAUACAGAGACAAAGAGGGAGAGAGAGAGAGAGAGAGAGAGAGAGAGACAGAAAAACAGCAAAAGAGCGAGACGGAGGAAUAUUGACAGGAGAGCAACUAAGAUCAAGAGAAUUCCAGGAUUCAUUUUUUCCCCAUAAUCCCGACUUGAUAAAGCAUUAGACACUGGUGAGCUAUCUCGCGAAUAAGCUUCGAAGCUCGUUCGGCUUUUAUCUCUCGCGGCUCGUCAGGACGUAGCACUACGAACAAUUUUUGACGAAACUUGUAUAUCGAUGUAUAGCUCAUUAAAAUGUGGCAAAAUUAAUAAUUCGAAGGUGCAGUGCGUCGAGUGGAAUUUUUCUAGUCUUCGUUUUCCUUCAUCCCAUUUUUUUUUCAAUUCCGCUGUAUUUUUAGCUGCCAGUUUUUCCGUUACCGCAUUGUUUUUUGUGUUUGCCGUUGGAGCUUCGAAAGUGUUUUUUUUUGCAAAGCAGUUACCAGGGAGUUUCGAUCAACGAAUGUUGAUGAGCUUCCGUUUGUUUAACAAAAUUUUCUUUAUCAUAUGGUGUGAUAAUACAUUUUCGAAACUUUGCUCGAUUCAUUCACAAAACAAUGCUGGGAGUUAUGAAUUUUUCGUGUACGGAAGAAAAAACACAUCCGUACAAACGAAAUGAGGUCGUUGAACGACAAGUGGCAGUAAAGAGGAAGAUUUCUUCAACGUAUUAAAUGUCCAUUCGAACUUAAUUUUCUGUUCUUUAUUGAUUUAUUGUUCCGAAUCGUAAGAAAAAACAUUUGGUGCGUAGGCGUUAUCGCAGAGGAGCCCGCGGACGUACACACAGAGAUGGCGCUUUGCGAGUUUAAAAAUAUAUAACGCUAUAAUACGAA